rnacentral:rRNA from 1 species
GUAGGUGGUAAUUUAAGUGAAUAGUGAAAUCUUGUGGCUCAACCAUAAGGCUAUUAUUCAAACUGAAAUACUUGAGAAUGAGAGAGGUCACUGGAAUUCCCUGUGUAGGAGUGAAAUCCGUAGAUAUAGGGAGGAACACCAAUGGCGUAGGCAGGUGACUGGCUCAUUUCUGACACUGAGGCACGAAAGCGUGGGGAGCGAACGGGAUUAGAUACCCCGGUAGUCCACGCCGUAAACGAUGGAUGCUAGCUGUUAGGAGUAUCGACCCUUCUAGUAGCGAAGCUAACGCGUUAAGCAUCCCGCCUGGGGAGUACGGUCGCAAGAUUAAAACUCAAAGGAAUUGACGGGGACCCGCACAAGUGGUGGAGCGUGUUCUUUAAUCCGAAGUUAAGCGAAGAACCUUACCAGGGCUUGACAUCCCGAGAAUUUCUGCGAAAGCAGAGAGUGCCUUUAUUGGAAUUCGGUGACAGGUGUUGCAUGGCCGUCGUCAGCUCGUGUCGUGAGAUGUUUGGUUAAGUCCAUCAACGAGCGCAACCCCUAUGAUUAGUUGAAUUUCUCUAAUCAGACUGCCCCGGUGACGGGGAGGAAGGAGGGGAUGAGGUCAGGUCAUUAUUGCCCUUACGCCCUGGGCUAGAAACGCGCUACAAUGGCUGGUACAAAGGGCUGCCAACCCGCGAGGGGGAGCAAAUCCCAUUAAAACCAGUCCCAGUUCGGAUUGCAGGCUGAAACUCGCCUGCAUGAAGCCGGAAUCACUAGUAACCGUAGGUCAGCACACUACGGUGAAUACGUUCCCGGGUCUUGUACACACCGCCCGUCAAACCAUGGAAGUCACCAACACCCGAAGUCCUAACUUGUUUAGGCCUAAGGUGGGGGGGAUAACUGGGGUU